rnacentral:rRNA from 1 species
GCAAGUCGAGCGAACGGACGAGAGUGCUUGCACUCUCUGAUGUUAGCGGCGGACGGGUGAGUAACACGUGGGUAACCUACCUAUAAGACUGGGAUAACUUCGGGAAACCGGAGCUAAUACCGGAUAAUAUUUAGCUUCGCAUGAAGCAAUAGUGAAAGACGGUUCUGCUGUCACUUAUAGAUGGACCCGCGGUGUAUUAGCUAGUUGGUGAGGUAACGGCUCACCAAGGCAACGAUACAUAGCCGACCUGAGAGGGUGAUCGGCCACACUGGGACUGAGACACGGCCCAGACUCCUACGGGAGGCAGCAGUAGGGAAUCUUCCGCAAUGGACGAAAGUCUGACGGAGCAACGCCGCGUGAGUGAAGAAGGUUUUCGGAUCGUAAAACUCUGUUGUAAGGGAAGAACAAGUACGUUAGUAACUGAACGUACCUUGACGGUACCUUACCAGAAAGCCACGGCUAACUACGUGCCAGCAGCCGCGGUAAUACGUAGGUGGCAAGCGCUAUCCGGAAUUAUUGGGCGUAAAGUGCGCGUAGGCGGUCUCUUAAGUCUGAUGUGAAAGCCCCCGGCUCAACCGGGGAGGGUCAUUGGAAACUGGGAGACUUGAGUGCAGAAGAGGAGAGUGGAAUUCCAUGUGUAGCGGUGAAAUGCGCAGAGAUAUGGAGGAACACCAGUGGCGAAGGCGGCUCUCUGGUCUGUAACUGACGCUGAGGUGCGAAAGCGUGGGGAUCAAACAGGAUUAGAUACCCUGGUAGUCCACGCCGUAAACGAUGAGUGCUAAGUGUUGGGGGGUUUCCGCCCCUCAGUGCUGCAGCUAACGCAUUAAGC